rnacentral:rRNA from 1 species
CAGUCGCCACGGGAAUACGUAGGUGGCAAGCGUUGUCCGGAAUUAUUGGGCGUAAAGCGCGCGCAGGCGGAUCAGUCAGUCUGUCUUAAAAGUUCGGGGCUUAACCCCGUGAUGGGAUGGAAACUGCUGAUCUAGAGUAUCGGAGAGGAAAGUGGAAUUCCUAGUGUAGCGGUGAAAUGCGUAGAUAUUAGGAAGAACACCAGUGGCGAAGGCGACUUUCUGGACGAAAACUGACGCUGAGGCGCGAAAGCCAGGGGAGCGAACGGGAUUAGAUACCCCAGUAGUCCCUGUCUCUUAUACA